GAGGAGCUUGCUCCUCUGACGUUAGCGGCGGACGGGUGAGUAACACGUGGAUAACCUACCUAUAAGACUGGGAUAACUUCGGGAAACCGGAGCUAAUACCGGAUAAUAUAUUGAACCGCAUGGUUCAAUAGUGAAAGACGGUUUUGCUGUCACUUAUAGAUGGAUCCGCGCCGCAUUAGCUAGUUGGUAAGGUAACGGCUUACCAAGGCAACGAUGCGUAGCCGACCUGAGAGGGUGAUCGGCCACACUGGAACUGAGACACGGUCCAGACUCCUACGGGAGGCAGCAGUAGGGAAUCUUCCGCAAUGGGCGAAAGCCUGACGGAGCAACGCCGCGUGAGUGAUGAAGGUCUUCGGAUCGUAAAACUCUGUUAUUAGGGAAGAACAAAUGUGUAAGUAACUAUGCACGUCUUGACGGUACCUAAUCAGAAAGCCACGGCUAACUACGUGCCAGCACGCGCGGUAAUA
rnacentral:rRNA from 1 species